GCGGGGAGGUGAUGCGCCCGGGUUUAGUCCCGGCCGCGGCGUUUAGGCGCCAAGUAUAAAAGAGGCGACGGCAGCAGCGGCCGCUCAUACGUGAUGGCGCCUCCGUGAGGGGGUGGCGUCGCCUUUUCUUGGCGCCCCCCUCGUUUCGACGGGCCAUCAGCUCCUCGAUCUGUGGGGAUAAGGUGAAAACUGGACAUUACAUGUGGCUGGACACAAAUGCCGGGACUUGCACGGGAGCUUGUGCCACCUGGGAUCAAACCCGUUCAGCGAUCCAGGGAGGAAUUUCACACGGCACAGGGAGCUGAGCUCAGCUCGUUACCCAUCCGGCCCAGCUGGCUGGCUGCAAACGGGACAGCCCCACGCUGCACCCCAGCCACUGUCCGAGUCAGGAGUCAGGCCUGGGCUCAGGCGAUGGAUCGAUCCUGCUGCGGCACACGAGCGGGACGGAUGGAUAAACGGGAGCAAACCAAACCGUUUCCAUGACAGACCAUGCAAAAGGGUCCUGUGCCCACGUCUGCUCAGCGUGCACAACGCCCACACCACCCCCGCUCCGUGCCCCGGGGGAGCGCGACCGAACCAUCUAGAAGAGCCUGGAAGAAACCUCGCUGGGCGUUUGCAUCCAACCCCACCCACCCCGCCGGCCGCGGGCAGCGGGUGCCGGCUGCGCGCCCCGCCGUGCCGCAGAGCACCUCCCGCGACCCCACCCCGAUCCGCGGAGAAUUGGGUAACAGCGGGAGGCAGUUUGGUUCAGCUUCGCCUCCGGCGCGGCCGCCUCGCUGGAGCUGAGUCACGGCGGCGCUGACUAGCUUUUCCCUGGCAGAAUUAUGUCAUUCACCUCCUCGCAGAUUGGCAGCGGAGACCAUUUCAUGGAGCCCAGCCGGCGGAAAGAAAUAAACACCACCAACCCUAAAUAUCCUUAUUUUCCCGUUGAUUUCCCCUUCAUAAGUGCUGGGAAUCUGAAUCCCAAAGGAUGAUUCAGGCAUCCCUUGAGCCGAGCCCUCCCCCACUCCCCUGUCCGUGCAGCAAGGGGUGACGAGCGUCUAAAUUUAAGAUUCCCGAUGUGACGCCAAGGCUAUGAAAGGCUCCUGUGUCAUCCCCGGGGUAAAAUGAGCUACUGUGGUUUGAAAUAGUCUUCUCCUCGGGGUAUAUUUCCGGGUGUCUUUCGGCACAAUGACGGAUUCAAAAGUGACAGAUCAUUUGCCCCGCUGCGCCCUUUGGCAGGACCUCGGACAAUGGAUUUUACAGCUUCAAAGGGGAAAAGGGAGCCUGAAGACAAGACGUGAAAAUUAAAGAUCCACUUGGAAAAGGCAAUUCAUGCACGAGAGUAUCCUGCCUUGCGUGUGGCCCCUGAAGAAAGCAUCUUCCCUUGGGUGCCACAGUCGUGCGAUCGGGGCGAAAAGAGAUCCUUAUUCACCUAA